UUAGAGUUAUUUAGACCUAUUUUAUUUUUCGUUGUCUUUGUAGUUACUUCCAAAUAUUUUUUUCCAUUAUGCAUCAUUUAACUUUUUUUUUUCACUUUUUUUUAUCAUUAUAUUAUUUUUCAUAUUAUUUUUCAUAUGUAUAAUUCAAGGUCAAUCUGUGUCAAAAUAUACUAUGCAAUCAACCAUCUCGAACAAAAUGGCAAGACUCCUCAAAAAGGGCCCAAAAAGUACACCAAAGACACUCCAAGGCCCAAAAGUUCACAACUUAGGGCCCAUCUACCGCUCAGCCAAAGAUGGCAUUCGCCAUCAAGGGCAUGGAGUUCGCCAUGGGUCAUGGGAUGUGAAAUCCGAGAUAGAAGCGAAAACCUUC
rnacentral:lncRNA from 1 species